AUACGGAGGGGUCAAGCGUUAUUCGGAUUUACUGGGCGUAAAGGGCGCGCAGGCGGGAUCGUGGGUCGGCCGUGAAAUCCACCGGCUUAACCGGUGAACUGCGGUCGAAACUGCGGUUCUUGAGCUUGGUAGAGGAAGGCGGAAUUCCUGGUGUAGCGGUGGAAUGCGUAGAUAUCAGGAAGAACACCGGUAGCGAAGGCGGCCUUCUGGGCCACAGCUGACGCUGAGGCGCGAAAGCUGGGGGAGCGAACAGGAUUAGAUACCCUGGUAGUCCCAGCCGUAAACGAUGGGUACUAGGUGUAGGAGGUACUGACCCCUCCUGUGCCGCAGUUAACGCACUAAGUACCCCGCCUGGGGAGUACGGUCGCAAGGCUGAA
rnacentral:rRNA from 1 species